rnacentral:rRNA from 1 species
AUUGAACGCUGGCGGCAGGCCUAACACAUGCAAGUCGAACGAGUGGCGGACGGGUGAGUAAUGUCUGGGAAACUGCCUGAUGGAGGGGGAUAACUACUGGAAACGGUAGCUAAUACCGCAUAACACCAGAUGUGCCCAGAUGGGAUAAGCUUGUUGGUGGGGUAACGGCUCACAAAGGCGACGCUCCCUAGCUGGUCUGAGAGGAUGACCAGCAACAUGGGAACUGCGACACGGUCCAGACUCCUACGGGCGGCAGCAGUGGGGAAUAUUGCACAAUGGGCGCAAGCCUGAUGCAGCUAUGCCGCGUGUAUGAAGAAGGCCUUCGGGUUGUAAAGUACUUUCAGCGGGGAGGCGUUACCCGCAGAAGAAGCACCGGCUAACUCCGUGCCAGCAGCCGCGGUAAUUC